GAUGAACGCUGGCGGCGUGCCUAAUACAUGCGAGUCGAGCGAACGGACGAGAAGCUUGCUUCUCUGAUGUUAGCGGCGGACGGGUGAGUAACACGUGGAUAACCUACCUAUAAGACUGGGAUAACUUCGGGAAACCGGAGCUAAUACCGGAUAAUAUUUUGAACCGCAUGGUUCAAAAGUGAAAGACGGUCUUGCUGUCACUUAUAGAUGGAUCCGCGCUGCAUUAGCUAGUUGGUAAGGUAACGGCUUACCAAGGCAACGAUGCAUAGCCGACCUGAGAGGGUGAUUGGGCACAAUGGAACUGGGACACGGUCCCGAAUCCUACGGGAGGCAACAGUAGGGGAACCUCCGGAAUGGGCGAAAGCCUGACGGAGCAACGCCGCGUGAGUGAUGAAGGUCUUCGGAUCGUAAAACUCUGUUAUUAGGGAAGAACAUAUGUGUAAGUAACUGUGCACAUCUUGACGGUACCUAAUCAGAAAGCCACGGCUAACUACGUG
rnacentral:rRNA from 1 species